CGGAAUUAUUGGGCGUAAAGCGUUCGUAGGCUGUUUGUUAAGUCUGGAGUUAAAUCCCGGGGCUCAACCCCGGCUCGCUUUGGAUACUAGCAAACUAGAGUUAGAUAGCGGCAAGCGGAAUUCCAUGUGAAGCGGUGAAAUGCGUAGAUAUAUGGAAGAACACCAAAGGCGAAGGCAGCUUACUGGGUCUAUACUGACGCUGAGGGACGAAAGCGUGGGGAGCAAACCGGAUUAGAUACCCUGGGAGUCCACGCCGGAAACGAUGAUCAUUAGUCGGUGGAGAAUCACUGACGCAGCUAACGCAUUAAAUGAUCCGCCUGAGUAGUAUGCUCGCAAGAGUGAAACUUAAAGGAAUUGACGGGGACCCGCACAAGCGGUGGAGCAUGUGGUUUAAUUUGAAGAUACACGGAAAACCUUACCCACUCUUGACAUCCUUCGCAAAGCUAUAGAGAUAUAGUGGAGGUUAUCGGAGUGACAGAUGGUGCACGGUUGUCGUCAGCUCGUG
rnacentral:rRNA from 1 species